AGUGAACGCUGGCGGUAGGCCUAACACAUGCCAGUCGAACGGCAGCACAGUAAGAGCUUGCUCUUACGGGUGGCGAGUGGCGGACGGGUGAGGAAUACAUCGGAAUCUACUUUUUCGUGGGGGAUAACGUAGGGAAACUUACGCUAAUACCGCAUACGACCUACGGGUGAAAGCAGGGGAUCUUCGGACCUUGCGCGAUUGAAUGAGCCGGUGUCGGAUUAGCUAGUUGGCGGGGUAAAGGCCCACCAAGGCGACGAUCCGUAGCUGGUCUGAGAGGAUGAUCAGCCACACUGGAACUGAGAAACGGUCCAGACUCCUACGGGAGGCAGCAGUGGGGAAUAUUGGACAAUGGGCGCAAGCCUGAUCCAGCCAUACCGCGUGGGUGAAGAAGGCCUUCGGGUUGUAAAGCACUUUUGUUGGGAAAGAAAAGCAGCAGGUUAAUACCCCGCUGUUCUGACGGUACCAAAAGAAUAAGCACCGGCUAACUUCGUG
rnacentral:rRNA from 1 species